CGCGUCCAACUUGAACAUUGAAAUAUUAACAGCUACAAUUGGCAUACUAGAAAACAUCAUUGACGUCAUCAUCGUCACGAAGAAGUCAACAAUAUAUAAGAUUUUGCGACAAU